UUGUCUUCCCAGCAGAUAUCAGGGUGGUGGAAGUCCCCCACGAGAGCCAGGGCCUGUGAUGGUGAGGCUACCCCCGGCUGUCUGUAGAAGGCCUCACCAACUUCCCUUCCUGGUCAGGUGGCCUGUGGUAAACACCCACAGCGGUGCCACCCAUGUUGGCCUGACUCUUAGUCUUUACCCAUAAACUCUUGACUUGUUCUUCAUCCACCCCGAGGCAGAGCUCAAUAUGUUCCAGUUGCUCCUUCACAUAAAGAGCAACGCCACCACGUCUCCUUGCUGGCCUGUCUUUCCUGAAAACUACACAGCCAUCCCUGACAGCGUUCCAGUCAUGCAAGCUAUCCCACCAUGUCUCUGCAACUGCAGCGAGAUCACGGCCCUGCGACUGACACAGAUCUCUGAUUCUCCCUGUUUAGGCCCCAUGCUGCGUGGAUUCCAUAUUUUUCUUAAUUCCAAAGCCAUCUUUGCAAGACAAAUUACAAGUUUGUUUUCAGCAUCUUUACAGUGAAAUUAUCUUACAAACAUAUUCUGAACUCAGAAGACUGAAAAGUAAAAUUCAGUUUAUAAAUUCAGUAUGCUGUACUUGUCUGCUUGUAAAUAAGUAUAAAAGAAUAUUCAAUUCAGCAAUACAUUAGACAUACCACAUAUCCUUUGUACUCUUCCCAAGGAGGAUAUAUACCAUAUGAAAGAUUUAUAUGGAUUAGUUUCACAUAAUAUCAUGAUUUUCUUGGUGGUGUGGUUUUUUGAUAGCUUGUGUAUUAACAUCAGCAUAGCCUAGAAGUUUGUUUUCAUCUGGAGCUCUGCUGCAGCUGUGCCUAUCAUAUAAACAAGGAGUUAGCAUGGCUCUCUUCAAACACAAUACACUUUUCUGAAGGUCUUUCUAGCUCUGCCUGUGACUGAAUAGCAUUCUGCUAUAAGUUCCUGUGUUAUUUCAUUUCUUCCUAACAUUUCAUUCCCUUUGUCAGUUCUUUCUGGCAAAUAUAAAUGAUUUGCGUGGUGAGGAACAAGAAGGGAAAAGCAGAAUAAGCUGUCCUUUCCCAGCGCCAGGCCUGCUCACUUCCUACUUCCCAGCUUAUACCCAGAAAACUAAAGCAUGGUUUGAACUGCUGUCAGCAGGCACAUGGCAAGAGACAGACAAGUCUGACCUAAAGUUUGUCCUCAGACUCCUUUUUUACAGUGACAGUGUGCUGUGUUUUUAGCAGCAUUUUUUUCACAGUUCAACUGUUCUGCCAAACUAAGAUUGUGGAUUUUGUUUGCGAGUCCACCGAUAAUCUUCAUUGCAUAGGUGCCAAGGUGUGCUGGAGUGCACCCGGGGCUCCCUUUCUAGGGCAGCCUGUGCUUGGUAGAGGUGCUGCAUGGCACACACUGUUGCAUCCCAGUGCUUCCCACAAACAGGGCAACGUAACAGUGGGUGCAGCUCACUUGCAAGUCUUCCAGGUCUUGAUAGCUCCUUAAAUCCCACCAUGUCCUCACACUUUGCAUACAUUCACCAUCCCCAGGUACACGUUGUAAAAAGCCAUUUGAUCCCACCUAUUCGGCACAGCAGCAAUACACAAAGGAGCAACCUGAGCUCAGAAGAGACUCAGACACUUCUUGGUACAAACAGAGAUGAGGAUUCAUCUCUGCUCUGGCAAGGAGGAUGCCUGACAGGAGCAUGACAGAGCUGCCCUAGGCUGGCUGUUCACAAAGCAGGGAAGAGUUACACUUGGAGUUCAAACAAGUAUCCACAUCUGCAACACCAACCGUUGCAGACAGACAGAUCUCCAGAAUCCAGGAGACCCAUCUGCAGCUGCUUUCUUCUCAUUUUCUCUUCAUAAGGAGCUGAAACCAGGAGAUGUGGACCAGCUAAACAUCUGGAGAGGAGCUGAGCUGUGAUGCAUGACGGGAGAAAUUUGGAUCUUAGUGGAAUUACUGGCAAACAUCCCACUGACUAAACAGGAGACUUAGUUGAACCCGGUGAAGACUAAGGACAUGGAUGGAUGGAUUCCUGUGGGGUGUUUCUCAGCAAAAAUGACCUGCUCCGCAGCCGGCAAGCCUCUAAAACAAGGAAACCAUUAGCUAUCCAUCAACUCUUUAAGUACUCCAGAUCAGGAUCAAAGUAAGUGAUACAAUCAGUUCCUACCUGAGAGGUCUUCUACAUGAAAGGUCUUCUACAUGAAGGAACUUUAUGAAAAUUCAUUAAUAUUAACUGCUUAAGGUAAUUAAUACCUAAGUGGAGUUUCUGAAGGACACAGAUCGCACUCCUUUAAAUUUCUAUUUUAUUAAGGUAAGAAAUGUCAAAAGAUUUUUUUUUUCAUAUGAAUAUAAGGUUUUGAUUCUGGUAAUGUGAAAUGGGGCUUUAAUACCGCAAGGUAAGUAUUUUGAACAAAAAAAAAAUAGAAGCAGCUAAAAAUCAGGCAAUUCAAAUUAAAAUUAAGUUCUGAUUUUAGGCUUGUUAGUUUGCAUUUCUUUUUUUUUUUAAAAAAAAAACAAACAACCCACCUACCACAUAACCACAAACACUCUUGAGCAGAUGCUGUGAUUACAGUGUCAAAUAAUGUUACUUUUCUUCAAUGUGGACCUACCUAAGAUGAGUAUUUCUAGAAAUAUUCUCCUGUAGGGCAACAUCCACACGAGGCCAUUUGCUCAAAUUUAACAUAAAAAAGUUUAGCUAUUUAGAAUUUUCUCAAAAAUUCAAGCUUACAGGCACAGUAAUGUGCCUGUAACAUUUUAUGACACAGUUUAUGAAUCUUUAGAAAGCAUCUGAAUUUUUAAGCCUUUUAAUUUUCUAAUUUUCAGAUGUAAAAUUUUAAGACGCACAUGCAACGUGUAAAACUGCACAGAACGAACCAUACUGUGAUUAAACACUACGGUUACAAGUAAACCACUCAAAAUUUGGACUGCGCCAGGAAGAUGGUUGCUAAGUAAAAUAUUACUUUGUUCCUUUGUACGUACACAU